AUGUUUAAAAUACCUAGUACAUUAUUUCUAAAUAACAGAAUGCAUUUGAAACUUCAUACAGGUAACACUUACAGUAUAAUAACAGUAAAAAAUGGUCUCGGUCCUAAAUUGAAAAGUAUCUGUGUGUGUUCAGUUUGUAGGCCUACUACCCGGGUAGUGUGUGUGUGUGUGUGUGUGAGUGCAGGUUGGAGUGCUUAUCUGUAUCCAAGAUGGAUCCAAUGAAGUGCACACUCAAAGUGAUGGGUUGAAGAAGUAAAUACAGUGGUGCAGCCUGCAUGCGCCAGUCGAGUCAAAUGGGUCAUUAGUGGUUAGCUCGCCAUUCUUCUUUGAGAUCACUGAAUCACCUUCAGUGAUCUGGUCUUAGAAUCAACCAAUAAAAACAUUAAAAUCUGCAGAGCACAGGAUCUCAGUCAGAAUCUCAUAGUUAGUGGUAAAACUUCUCAAUUCAAUACAAACAUUACAAUGACUGCCAAAAAAACUGGUAGCAACAGUAUUGUACAAAAGUCAUCAAGUAAAUGCUAAAGUAAAGAGCUUAGCACAACAUAUUUACAUACAAUAGCAUCUCCAUUUAAAAAUAUAUUUUUCAAAAUUCACAACAGGAAUAAUAGCAUCUCUAAUUUAAACACCAUUUCAAUAAAAUUCUUAGUUCCAUGAGCGAGAAAAAAUAACACAUUCUAGAAUGAUCACUCAAGAGCUAGCCCAGCAAUACAGCAAUACAAGUAGCUAGACAUAACUAACACUUCAUAUGAGCUAAAAACUACACUCAUUUACAUAUUUAACUCCAAUUGGUUUUUAGUUACAAAACUCAAAAUGAACAUGACAGUAAUAUACUUAUUCUACAAAACUCUGCUAAAGACAUGCUAGUGCAAUGGCUUUUCUCAGUUAGCAUGUUAGUAGAAAACAAGCUAAGUAACUCACCGGAGUACAUGAUUUUGACAAUAUUAAUACAUCUUCAAACUGUUCUUGAUAAGCACACACUGUCUUGAAACAAAACAAACUUGAAAAGUAAUAUCACUCAAAACACUAUAGAAUUCAGUUUUCGCUCUGGUUAACUCGAUGGUAUAUCACUCUUGCUAGCUUGUGAUGGCAUCUGACUGGCGCGGUUUCUCACUCACCGCCUGAUUGAGCAUUCUAUGAUCUACAAUACUAUAACGCCCCCAAGGGGAAUUACAAUAUUUUGACUAAAGAAAAACCCAAAUUUAACACCAGUGUAAAUUGUGGGUUUUCGACACAGUAAAACUUUUGUAUGGACAAACACAAUUAUUAUUACUACUAUGUUCAAAUUAGUUUAUUGAUAAGAGUUGGAAAAAAGGUGUUCAUGCAUUGAUAAGCACACCAAAGAUCGCAUUAACGAUAAUAAAAUAGAGAGGGUACGUCUAAACGCCUAUUUCACACCAUAGCCUGCUUUAUUAGCAAUAGAACUUUUCCUUCAUUUUGAUUUCGGCACAAAUGAAAAAAAUGUGGCACUGACUUGCCCAUUGAUUGAUGUUUCAGCAUUGUAUACAGUGAGGGAAAAAAGUAUUUGAUCCCCUGCUGAUUUUGUACGUUUGCCCACUGACAAAGAAAUGAUCAGUCUAUAAUUUUAAUGGUAGGUUUAUUUGAACAGUGAGAGACAGAAUAACAAAAAAAUCCAGAAAAACACAUGUCAAAAAUGUUAUAAAUUGAUUUGCUUAAUGAGGGAAAUACAUAUUUGACCCCCUCUCGAACAGUAAGAUUUCUGGCUCCCAGGUGUCUUUUAUACAGAUAACGAGCUGAUAUUAGGAGCACACUUUUAAAGUGCUCCUAAUCUCAGUUUGUUACCGGUCCACAGAAGCAAUCAAUCAAU
rnacentral:lncRNA from 1 species